GACGAACGCUGGCGGCGUGCUUAACACAUGCAAGUCGAGCGGUAAGGCCCUUUCGGGGGUACACGAGCGGCGAACGGGUGAGUAACACGUGGGUGACCUGCCCUCAGCUCUGGGAUAAGCCUGGGAAACCGGGUCUAAUACCGGAUAUGACUCCAUGACGCAUGUUGUGGGGUGGAAAGCCUUGUGCGGCUGAGGAUGGGCCCGCGGCCUAUUC
rnacentral:rRNA from 1 species